UAGAAAUUUAUUCCCUGACUGCCUGCGCGGGAUGAUCUGACCUAUCCCUCGAUACUUCAAAUUGGUGAAUUAGUGGAUCUCUUCUAAUGUGGGGGUGAGUUCAAAAUCUUUAAACGUAAAGACAACUCGAUCUGGGUCCUAAAACUGAAUCAACGCUCUAACCACAUGCUUGUCAGGAGAGAUCUUGAGGAAUGUAGGGAGGUAUUCC
rnacentral:lncRNA from 1 species